UACGUAGGGUGCGAGCGUUUGUCCGGAAUUAUUGGGCGUAAAGGGCUCGUAGGCGGUUUGUCGCGUCGGGAGUGAAAACCAUGAGCUUAACUCAUGGCUUGCUUUCGAUACGGGCAGACUAGAGGCAUGCAGGGGAGAACGGAAUUCCUGGUGUAGCGGUGAAAUGCGCAGAUAUCAGGAGGAACACCGGUGGCGAAGGCGGGUCUCUGGGCUGACACUGACGCUCAUGCACGAAAGCGUGGGGAGCAAACAGG
rnacentral:rRNA from 1 species